GAUGAACGCUAGCGGCAGGCUUAACACAUGCAAGUCGAGGGGUAACAGGGUGCUUGCACCGCUGACGACCGGCGCACGGGUGCGUAACGCGUAUAGAACCUACCUUUUACAGGAGAAUACCCCAGAGAAAUUUGGAAUAAUGCUCCAUAGUAUUAUUGAAUGGCAUCAUUUGAUAAUUAAACAUUUAUGGGUAAAAGAUGGCUAUGCGUUCUAUUAGCUAGAUGGUAAGGUAACGGCUUACCAUGGCAACGAUAGAUAGGGGUCCUGAGAGGGAGAUCCCCCACACUGGUACUGAGACACGGACCAGACUCCUACGGGAGGCAGCAGUGAGGAAUAUUGGACAAUGGAGGCAACUCUGAUCCAGCCAUGCCGCGUGCAGGAAGACGGUCCUAUGGAUUGUAAACUGCUUUUAUACAGGAAGAAACACUCCCUCGUGAGGGAGCUUGACGGUACUGUAUGAAUAAGCACCGGCUAACUCCGUGCCAGCAGCCGCGGUAAUACGGAGGGUGCAAGCGUUAUCCGGAAUCAUUGGGUUUAAAGGGUCCGUAGGCGGGCUAAUAAGUCAGGGGUGAAAUCCAACAGCUUAACUGUUGAAUUGCCUUUGAUACUGUUAGUCUUGAGUUAUAUGGAAGUAGAUAGAAUGUGUAGUGUAGCGGUGAAAUGCUUAGAGAUUACACAGAAUACCGAUUGCGAAGGCAGUCUACUACGUAUAUACUG
rnacentral:rRNA from 1 species